rnacentral:rRNA from 1 species
UGGGGAAUUUUGGACAAUGGGCGAAAGCCUGAUCCAGCAAUGCCGCGUGUGUGAAGAAGGCCUUCGGGUUGUAAAGCACUUUUGUCCGGAAAGAAAUCCUUGGCUCUAAUACAGUCGGGGGAUGACGGUACCGGAAGAAUAAGCACCGGCUAACUACGUGCCAGCAGCCGCGGUAAUACGUAGGGUGCAAGCGUUAAUCGGAAUUACUGGGCGUAAAGCGUGCGCAGGCGGUUUGCUAAGACCGAUGUGAAAUCCCCGGGCUCAACCUGGGAACUGCAUUGGUGACUGGCAGGCUAGAGUAUGGCAGAGGGGGGUAGAAUUCCACGUGUAGCAGUGAAAUGCGUAGAGAUGUGGAGGAAUACCGAUGGCGAAGGCAGCCCCCUGGGCCAAUACUGACGCUCAUGCACGAAAAGCGUGGGGAGCAAACAGGAUUAGAUACCCUGGUAGUCCACGCCCUAAACGAUGUCAACUAGUUGUUAGGGAUUCAUUUCCUUAGUAACGUAGCUAACGCGUGAAGUUGACCGCCUGGGGGAGUACGGUCGAAGAUUAAAACUCAAAUGAAUUGACGGGGUCAU